CAGUAGCCGCGGUAAUACGUAGGGUGCGAGCGUUAAUCGGAAUUACUGGGCGUAAAGCGUGCGCAGGCGGUUCGUUAAGACAGAUGUGAAAUCCCCGGGCUUAACCUGGGAACUGCAUUUGUGACUGGCGAGCUAGAGUAUGGCAGAGGGGGGUAGAAUUCCACGUGUAGCAGUGAAAUGCGUAGAGAUGUGGAGGAAUACCGAUGGCGAAGGCAGCCCCCUGGGUCAAUACUGACGCUCACGCACGAAAGCGUGGGGAGCAAACAGGAUUAGAUACCCCAGAGUCCCUGUCUCUUAUACA
rnacentral:rRNA from 1 species